UACGUAGGGCGCGAGCGUUGUCCGGAUUUAUUGGGCGUAAAGAGCUCGUAGGCGGCUUGUCGCGUCGUUCGUGAAAACCUGCAGCUCAACUGUGGGCGUGCGGGCGAUACGGGCAGACUGGAGUACUGCAGGGGAGACUGGAAUUCCUGGUGUAGCGGUGGAAUGCGCAGAUAUCAGGAGGAACACCGGUGGCGAAGGCGGGUCUCUGGGCAGUAACUGACGCUGAGGAGCGAAAGCGUGGGGAGCGAACAGG
rnacentral:rRNA from 1 species